GAAGAAGAAAAAAAAGAAGGCCAAAAAAUCCAAGGAAACCGAGGCUUGCAGCCGUUCAAGGAUGACUACCAGUGAGGGAGUAAUUGGCCGGUAUAUGAAGGUCCUCAGGCACUACGCAAAGAAGACUGCGAUGCCUAUGAGACCAUAGCACGCAGCGCGGCACCACCUCGGAGAGUCUGCGUGUGGACGCCCCUGGCAACUCCCACAUAUCAAGUCAUGACGGGGAGCUGCGGAAUCUGAGGGCCCACGGACAAGGGGAGGGCCUACUGGUGGUGGAGGACCAUGACACCCUCUCCGCCGCGUCAGAACUGGAGGCCUUGAGCUCGCUGUGUGCGGACCACAGCGUGGCCAAGAGCCUGGAAUGUAACGAGCGGCUCGUCCACCUUGAGGAGCUGACUGGUCCUCGGGGCAUCCACAAGGGCCGUCCCUGUGUCUUCUGUGGCAGGGUUUUUCCCAACAAUGCC